UCGCUAUCUUAACGGAAUUCCUGUGCAGUACGAGAGGAACCACAGGUUACGGACCACUGGCUCAAUACUAGUCCGACCGGACUUUGGUAUGACGCUACGUCCGCUGGAUUAUGCCUGAACGCCUCUAAGGUCGUAGCCAAUCCGAGCUGAUAGCGCUUCUCAAACCCAUUAGGUGUUCGGAAGCUAGCGGGCCUAACAACCCUCUGAGAUCCGUUGGAGUCUGCUUCUGCAGCCCGGCGUCUCAUCCCGCUAUACCUAGGCCGCAACGAGUGGAGUUCGCUGCACGUGUUAGUACCGUAACUGGGAACGCCGUUGGCUUGAGCUCUGCCCAACGUGGAUAUACCUAGUUUCGACACCUAUCAACCGCCCGCAAACGACGGGACUUCAGGCUGGGAGCUGCGAGUUGUAGAGAUGCGUUCGCAUCGAUCCUCUCAGGCGACCCAUGCUUGGUGGUUUG
rnacentral:rRNA from 1 species